rnacentral:rRNA from 1 species
AUUGAACGCUGGCGGCAUGCCUUACACAUGCAAGUCGAACGGCAGCACGGGUGCUUGCACCUGGUGGCGAGUGGCGAACGGGUGAGUAAUACAUCGGAACAUGUCCUGUAGUGGGGGAUAGCCCGGCGAAAGCCGGAUUAAUACCGCAUACGAUCUACGGAUGAAAGCGGGGGACCUUCGGGCCUCGCGCUAUAGGGUUGGCCGAUGGCUGAUUAGCUAGUUGGUGGGGUAAAGGCCUACCAAGGCGACGAUCAGUAGCUGGUCUGAGAGGACGACCAGCCACACUGGGACUGAGACACGGCCCAGACUCCUACGGGAGGCAGCAGUGGGGAAUUUUGGACAAUGGGCGAAAGCCUGAUCCAGCAAUGCCGCGUGUGUGAAGAAGGCCUUCGGGUUGUAAAGCACUUUUGUCCGGAAAGAAAUCCUUGGCCCUAAUACGGUCGGGGGAUGACGGUACCGGAAGAAUAAGCACCGGCUAACUACGUGC